GUAAUUGCAAGGAGAGCACGUGCUUCACAGAUUGCGAGUGUUUCAAAGGGGAUUAAAAGGCAAAUAUAAUAAUCUUUGUUUAAUAUGCAUAAAUAACGUUGUAUAAUGUUAUAACUUUUGCAUAAAACUUAUUUGGGAUUAUUUUAGUGCGAUGAUUGAUUGAUAUUGAAGUGGAUGAUAGCCGAUUGUGGAUCCAGUAGCACCCAAUGUGAUUGUGUUGAAACCCCCCGGAUUCGGUCAGGUUUUUUUUCGAGAGCUAGAAAAGCUGUGAUCCUGAGAUGGCGAGCCUCCCAGUUUGAGAACCCUAAAGAGAGACGAAAGAGAAGAGAAUUCUUGAUUCAUCAAACGAUCCGUGCCUUAUCUGCUUUCACAAGUGGAAUUCAUCCAGCUGUAUUGGUAUUUUUUCACUAAUUAUCUAGUUGCACAGAGCUGAAUGUUGCACUAUUGAACACUUACACCUCAAGCAAUUGCAAACACCAUUCCAAGACUUCUGAAUUUAUUUGGAUUUAAAGGACUAUUUUUUCCUACUCACAUAUACAUCUGUUCCAUAGGCUGAGACCUAUUCAUUUAAAGUACCUUUUGACCAGUUUUAAAUUAUUUUUCAUGUAUACAUUUUAUUUUCCUUGAUUUAAUGUUUUUGAGUAUUUGAAAUUGUACAUUUUCUUCGUGGGUUAAAGAAAUUGAACAACGUAAUAGGAAACAUAGCUCCAAAAUUAGAAAUUAGAAAGCAAGUUGAAUUAAAUUAGAUACAAAUUAAUAACAAAUAUAGUGUAUAUAUAUAUAUAUAUAUAUAUAUAUAUAUAUAUAUAUAUAUAUAUAUACAAAUAGAAACAAAACAUAAUAUAAUUAGAUUAAAUAACUACAAAGGAGCUCAACAUAUUUAGAGUUUCUCUAAAAGGAAAGAAAGGGAAAACCAUUGUUUUGCAUUAUACUGUUUUAUUGGGUCAUUGCCAUUUUAUUUCAUUGUUUUAUGUUUCACGUGUAUGCCCAUUCAAAUCUUUUCCUUUUAAGUAAACAAAACCAUCUUGGUAAAAGUCA